AACGCAGAAAGGGAGCCGAGGCUCCCUUUCCAAUCGAAGUGCGUUCUUUGUUCUUGUUCUGUUUCCGGGCGUGUUGUUCUUGUCGUAUGCCCGUCCCGGUUGGCCCGUGGGCUCCGGGAUGGCCCCCAAUGGGGAGCCAAUAGCAAACGGAUUUCUUUGGUCGCUGAUGUUGCCUGGGUCGUGCCGACCCACCAGUUCGGGUGCUGCCUGGGGGCAGUU
rnacentral:misc_RNA from 1 species